AUGCACGCUGGCGGCGCGCCUAAUCCAUGCAAGUCGAGCGCACGGACGAGAAGCUUGCUUCUCUGAUGUUAGCGGCGGACGGGUGAGUAACACGUGGAUAACCUACCUAUAAGACUGGGAUAACUUCGGGAAACCGGAGCUAAUACCGGAUAAUAUUUUGAACCGCCUGGUUCAAAAGUGAAAGACGGUCUUGCUGUCACUUAUAGAUGGAUCCGCGCUGCAUUAGCUAGUUGGUAAGGUAACGGCUUACCAAGGCAACGAUGCAUAGCCGACCUGAGAGGGUGAUCGGCCACACUGGAACUGAGACACGGUCCAGACUCCUACGGGAGGCAGCAGUAGGGAAUCUUCCGCAAUGGGCGAAAGCCUGACGGAGCAACGCCGCGUGAGUGAUGAAGGUCUUCGGAUCGUAAAACUCUGUUAUUAGGGAAGAACAUAUGUGUAAGUAACUGUGCACAUCUUGACGGUACCUAAUCAGAAAGCCACGGCUAACUACGUG
rnacentral:rRNA from 1 species